AUUAAUUAGACAAACGCAGUGCCAGUCAGGCUCUGCCGCCAUCUCCUCCUCAGAGGUCAGCUCCAUCAGGUCCCUGCUAGAGACUCUUUUAUUUUUUUUUCCAUCUUUUUAAAAGAAAACUUAAUCUCCUAACAAGACAUCCCCAAAACAAUUCAUGGCGUGCCAGCAGAGCAAGUACAUACAAGCAUGCUCUGCAGAGGUUCCAGGAACCCACCAGGGCCUCCCUUCUACCUGUCCAGACAGAUGCUGCUCCAGGAAGAAUGCUGGCCUCCACACUGGUCCUUCCUCAUCAGAGACGCUGCUCCAGAUGCCUGCCCCCAUGGGAAGAGAGUGUGAGAGUGGCCUCUCUUAUCAUUCCACACUCGUUCCUUGAGCUAGUUACAUCCUAGCAGCCCUGAGGACAAACAGGUGAUCAUAGUACCACCUAAAAGACUUGUUAGUGCUGAUGGCUCCACUUGCUGCUUCGGCUCUGUGGGUCUGUAUGGGGCUCCAGUCAUCAAGCAUGAGGACUCCUCAGCCUAGGACCCCUCCACAAUCGGGGCACGCAUGCUUCUGCUCCUCACUAAGUUAUUUUAUGCAACAGGUAUGCACACCACUCAUUUCAAACACAACUAAUUUUUGUCUUCUGGCCUUAACGAUCUUGGCUUAAACAUGAUGGAGAAUGACCAAAGAUGGAAAUGAAGGCAGAACUGUUACAGCCCUCCUCCCUAGCCUCCAUGCCAGUCAGCUUCAUUUCUUCAAAUGCUGAAGCUGCAGGAAGCAAACCUCACCACAAACCCACAGCCACUGUU